rfam:Canis lupus familiaris chromosome 29, whole genome shotgun sequence.
CGGGGGAGGCCGGAUCCUGGGCUGUGUCCCGGCGCCCUGUGCUCUGGGGCCUGCGCUGUUGGAUUCGCGCUCCCGCCCCGCAGCCCCCU